UUGGUAGGAGUAUUUAGCUAAAUGAGUUUAUUCUUCUUUUAGGAUCACCAGUUUAGUACUUAAAAAGAUUUACAUUCAUCGGAUACAACAUAAUAACUCACGUUUUGAUUUUAAGGUUUUUUUGUGUAUAUUUAUCGUAGGCUAACUCUUUAUUUAUCUUUGUAAUUUUGCUGUUUUUCGUUUAGUAUAGAUCAUCUGACUGAAUCUGUUGGUGUGUAUUGUUGGCGACUGAAUCCCUUCAAUUUCUUAGUGUUGAACAUUUGAGCAUGUUUUAUCAUCUAAUUAGGUUUGUUUGGGUUUGAUAGGAUGACUUUGGAAAGGUUGAAGAUUGAAAAUUUGUAUAUUGAAGAAGAAAUGAAUUCUUUCUAAUGUAUUAGAUAGAUUUUUGUUAUUAUUUAUUUAAGUAAGGUUGUAAAUUAUUCACAGAUUUGAUUUAUCAUUUCUAUUUAUAUUGUAAUUACUUUUAUUACAUAUAAUAAUAAUUAUAAUUUUUCCUCUAAA